GAAAUGCGAUAAGUAAUGUGAAUUGCAGAAUUCAGUGAAUCAUCGAAUCUUUGAACGCACCUUGCGCUCCUUGGUAUUCCUUGGAGCAUGCCUGUUUGAGUAUCAUGAAAUCUUCAAAGUAAAUCUUUUGUUAACUCAAUUGGUUUCUACUUUGGUAUUGGAGGUCUUUGCAGCUUCACACCUGCUCCUCUUUGUUCAUUAGCUGGAUCUCAGUGUUAUGCUUGGUUCCACUCGGCGUGAUAAGUUAUCUAUCGCUGAGGACACUGUAAAAGGUGGCCAAGGUAAAUGCAGAUGAACCGCUUCUAAUAGUCCAUUGACUUGGACAAGACUUUUAUGAUCUGAUCUCAAAUCAGGUAGGACUACCCGCUGAACUUAAGC
rnacentral:misc_RNA from 1 species